rnacentral:rRNA from 1 species
UGCUCGAAGGUUAAUUGAUGGGGUUAGCAUUAGCGAAGCUCUUGAUCGAAGCCCGAGUAAACGGCGGCCGUAACUAUAACGGUCCUAAGGUAGCGAAAUUCCUUGUCGGUUAAAUACCGACCUGCAUGAAUGGCGUAACGAGAUGGGAGCUGUCUCAAAGAGGGAUCCAGUGAAAUUGUAGUGGAGGUGAAAAUUCCUCCUACCCGCGGCAAGACGGAGAGACCCCGUGGACCUUUACUACAGCUUGACACUGCUACUUGGAUAAGAAUGUGCAGGAUAGGUGGGAGGCUUUGAGUAUAUGACGCCAGUUGUAUAUGAGCCAUUGUUGAGAUACCACUCUUUCUUAUUUGGGUAGCUAACCAGCUUGAGUUAUCCUCAAGUGGGACAAUGUCUGGUGGGUAGUUUGACUGGGGCGGUCGCCUCCCAAAUAAUAACGGAGGCUUACAAAGGUUGGCU